UACAUUAGAGUAGGUACUGGAGAGAGUUGACUUCUAAAGAAGAGACAUAGCUGAUUAUUUCAAAGGACUUAGAUAUUUGGAAAUUUGGAGUAUUCUGUCUGCUAACACAAUCAUUUGGUCUGAAAUACUGGCUUUUAGACUCUACAGUUCUGUGUACAAAUUGUAACCUCUUUCAAUUGUCAGUUAUGAAAUACUGAAAGCUAAUUUAUACACUUUAAAGGCCUGUGGCAGGUCAUGACGUGAUUUUGCCUUAGCGUUCUGAAUGUCAAAGUGAAGAAAUUCAGUGAAGCCCAUAUAAAUCGAUGGGUGUAACUAUGACUCUCUUAAGGUAGCCAAGUGCUCUGUCAUCUAAUUAGAGAUGUGCAUGAACGGAUGAAUGACAUUUUCUACUGUCUUUACCUAUUAUUUGAUAAAACCACAGCCAAGGGAAUGGCUUGG
rnacentral:ncRNA from 1 species